UACAGAGGUCCCAAGCGUUGUUCGGAUUCAUUGGGCGUAAAGGGUGCGUAGGCGGUCGGGUAAGUCGGAUGUGAAAUCUCAGGGCUCAACCCUGAAACUGCAUUCGAUACUGCUUGGCUAGGGUACUGGAGAGGAGACUGGAAUUUACGGUGUAGCAGUGAAAUGCGUAGAUAUCGUAAGGAAGACCAGUGGCGAAGGCGAGUCUCUGGACAGUUACCGACGCUGAGGCACGAAGGUCAGGGGAGCAAACGGG
rnacentral:rRNA from 1 species